GACAUAGGUCGCAAACGUUAUCCGGAAUUAUUGGGCGUAAAGGGCAGGUAGGUGGUUCAGUUAGUCUGUUGUGAAAGCUCCCGGCUUAACCGGGAGAGGUCAACGGAUACUGCUGAACUUGAGUAUAGGAGAGGUUACUGGAAUUCCCGGUGUAGCGGUGAAAUGCGCAGAGAUCGGGAGGAACACCAAUGGCGAAAGCAGGUAACUGGACUAUUACUGACACUCAGCUGCGAAAGCUAGGGGAGCAAACAGG
rnacentral:rRNA from 1 species